rnacentral:rRNA from 1 species
UACCAGCACCCCGAGUGGUCGGGACGAUUAUUGGGCCUAAAGCAUCCGUAGCCGGUUUACAAGUCCUCCGUUAAAUCCAGCUGCUUAACAGAUGGGCUGCGGAGGAUACUAUAAGACUAGGAGGCAGGAGAGGCGAAGCGGUACUCAGUGGGUAGGGGUAAAAUCCGUUGAUCCAUUGAAGACCACCAGUGGCGAAGGCGGCUUGCCAGAAUGCGCUCGACGUGAGG